rnacentral:rRNA from 1 species
UAAGGAAUAUUGGUCAAUGGACGCAAGUCUGAACCAGCCAUGCCGCGGGAAGGAUGAAGGUCCUCUGGAUUGUAAACUUCUUUUAUCUGGGACGAAAACGGGAUUUUUAUCUCAAUUGACGGUACCAGAGGAAUAAGCACCGGCUAACUCCGUGCCAGCAGCCGCGGUAAUACGGAGGGUGCGAGCGUUAUCCGGAUUUACUGGGUUUAAAGGGUGCGUAGGUGGGCUUAUAAGUCAGUGGUGAAAUCUCCGAGCUUAACUUGGAAACUGCCGUUGAUACUAUAGGUCUUGAAUUAUCUGGAGGUUAGCGUAAUAUGUCAUGUAGCGGUGAAAUGCUUAGAUAUGACAUAGAACACCAAUUGCGAAGGCAGCUUACUACAUAUAAAUUGACGCUGAGGCACGAAAGCGUGGGGAUCAAACA